CGCGGAGUAGAGCAGUUGGUAGCUCGUCGGGCUCAUAACCCGGAGGUCGCAGGUUCAAAUCCUGUCUCCGCAACCA
rnacentral:tRNA from 1 species